GCCGGGUGCGGUGGCGCGCACCUGUAAUCUCAGCUACUCAGGAGGCUGAGGCAGGAGAAUCGCUUGAACCUGGGAGUUGGAGGUUGCAGUGAGCCAAGAUUGCCGCUGCACUCCAGCCUGGUGACAGAGUGAGACUCCGCCUCAA
rnacentral:SRP_RNA from 1 species